rnacentral:rRNA from 1 species
UACGAAGGGUGCAAGCGUUACUCGGAAUUACUGGGCGUAAAGCGUGCGUAGGUGGUUUGUUAAGUCUGCUGUGAAAGCCCCGGGCUCAACCUGGGAAUGGCAGUGGAUACUGGCAAGCUAGAGUGCGGUAGAGGGUCGUGGAAUUCCCGGGUGUAGCGGUGAAAUGCGUAGAGAUCGGGAGGAACACCAGAGGCGAAGGCGGCGACCUGGACAGGCACUGACACUCAACUACGAAAGCGUGGGGAGCAAACAGGG